rnacentral:rRNA from 1 species
ACUCCUACGGGAGGCAGCAGUGGGGAAUAUUGGACAAUGGGCGCAAGCCUGAUCCAGCCAUGCCGCGUGUGUGAAGAAGGCCUUCGGGUUGUAAAGCACUUUCAGCGAGGAGGAAGGGUUGUGUGUUAAUAGCGCAUAACUUUGACGUUACUCGCAGAAGAAGCACCGGCUAACUCUGUGCCAGCAGCCGCGGUAAUAC